rnacentral:rRNA from 1 species
AUCCGGGUUGCGGACAGUGUCUGGUGGGUAGUUUGACUGGGGCGGUCUCCUCCUAAAGAGUAACGGAGGAGCACGAAGGUUGGCUAAUCCUGGUCGGACAUCAGGAGGUUAGUGCAAUGGCAUAAGCCAGCUUGACUGCGAGCGUGACGGCGCGAGCAGGUGCGAAAGCAGGUCAUAGUGAUCCGGUGGUUCUGAAUGGAAGGGCCAUCGCUCAACGGAUAAAAGGUACUCCGGGGAUAACAGGCUGAUACCGCCCAAGAGUUCAUAUCGACGGCGGUGUUUGGCACCUCGAUGUCGGCUCAUCACAUCCUGGGGCUGAAGUAGGUCCCAAGGGUAUGGCUGUUCGCCAUUUAAAGUGGUACGCGAGCUGGGUUUAGAACGUCGUGAGACAGUUCGGUCCCUAUCUGCCGUGGGCGCUGGAGAACUGAGGGGGGCUGCUCCUAGUACGAGAGGACCGGAGUGGACGCAUCACUGGUGUUCGGGUUGUCAUGCCAAUGGCACUGCCCGGUAGCUAAAUGCGGAAGAGAUAAGUGCUGAAAGCAUCUAAGCACGAAACUUGCCCCGAGAUGAGUUCUCCCUGAGACUUAAAGUCUCCUGAAGGAACGUUGAAGACGACGACGUUGAUAGGCCGGGUGUGUAAGCGCAGCGAUGCGUUGAGCUAACCGGUACUAAUGAACCGUGAGGCUUAACCUUACAACGCCGAAGCUGUU